UACGUAGGGUGCAAGCGUUGUCCGGAAUUAUUGGGCGUAAAGAGCUCGUAGGCGGUUUGUCGCGUCUGCUGUGAAAACCCGAGGCUCAACCUCGGGCCUGCAGUGGGUACGGGCAGACUAGAGUGCGGUAGGAGAGAUUGGAAUUCCUGGUGUAGCGGUGGAAUGCGCAGAUAUCAGGAGGAACACCAAUGGCGGAGGCAGAUCUCUGGGCCGUAACUGACGCUGAGGAGCGAAAGCAUGGGGAGCGAACAGG
rnacentral:rRNA from 1 species